GAUGAACGCUAGCGGCAGGCCUAACACAUGCAAGUCGAGGGGUAACGAUGUCUUCGGACAGGCGACGACCGGCGCACGGGUGAGUAUCGCGUUUGUAACCUACCUUUAACUGGAGAAUAGCCCGAAGAAAUUCGGAUUAAUACUCCAUAACACUAUGAACUGGCAUCUUUUUAUAGUUAAAGCUCCGGCGGUUAAAGAUGGGCAUGCGUAACAUUAGAUUGUUGGUGAGGUAACGGCUCACCAAGUCUACGAUGUUUAGGGGGUCUGAGAGGAUGGUCCCCCACACUGGUACUGAGACACGGACCAGACUCCUACGGGAGGCAGCAGUGAGGAAUAUUGGUCAAUGGGCGAAAGCCUGAACCAGCCAUGCCGCGUGAAGGAUGACAGCGCUACGCGUUGUAAACUUCUUUUGUACAGGAAGAAACACUUCUACGUGUAGAAGCUUGACGGUACUGUACGAAUAAGCAUCGGCUAACUCCG
rnacentral:rRNA from 1 species